rnacentral:lncRNA from 1 species
AAGACUUGAUAACAGAAUCAAGCCUAGCAAAAUUCCCUUACUUGCAUUUUUGUGUCAAGGAAACUUUGAGAUUACACCCUCCAGCACCAUUUCUAAUACCUCACCGAGCAACAGAAGAUUGUCAAGUUUUGGACUGCACCAUACCAAAGGACACCCAAGUUCUUGUGAAUGUAUGGGCAAUUGCAAGAGACCCUGCCAGUUGGGAAGACCCUUUGUGUUUUAAACCUGAAAGAUUCCUGAAUUCUGAUCUGGAUUACAAAGGAAACCAUUUUGAGUUUUUGCCUUUUGGAAGUGGAAGGAGGAUUUGUGCCGGGUUACCAAUGGCUGUUAAGAAAGUUCAGCUGGCUUUGGCCAAUUUAAUCCAUGGCUUUGACUGGUCUCUACCAAAUAACAUGCUUCCUGAUGAACUAAACAUGGAUGAGAAGUAUGGUAUCACACUGAUGAAGGAGCAACCUCUUAAGCUUAUACCGAAAUUGAGGAAAUGAUCAUAACUUCUUGUGGUUGAUGAUGGAGCAACCCUUUAAUUUCCCUGUGUUUUCUGUUAUCUUGCGUCAUUGUUUCCUGUACUGUGUUGUGAUCCAUGAAGCAUGUUAGGCUAUUUGGGGUGGUGUUGUGCUAUAUGUAUACAAUCUGUUUAAUAGCUUACUAGUUUUGUUUGAAAUAAGAUUAUUGGAAGUCUCUGAAGAGACUACAUCAACUCUAUAUCAGUAAAGAACAUCCUCUUCAUCUCAUACUUCAAAAAAGCUAGUCUUUCUCACAAUGGGUUGAUGAAUCUUAAGGUAAUUCCUUUACUUGAACAUGAGAAACAGAAAAAUGUAUGUGAAGGUGAGAUGUGAUUCCUGCCUUAACUUUAUCCUCAUCCGGCAAAGCUUUAAUGAGUUUCUUAUAACCAAUUUUUGUAAGAAUCUGGGGAAGGCGAUGAAGGACGACAUAAUGAUGCAUGGGUUGGGUUCUUUAUCUUUUUUAAAGAGUAAUGCCAAUAUGCUAUACUUCCAGGACUGAGUUUUCGAUUAAUAUUUAACCAUUGAUGGAAAAAAAUAACUAGGUGUUACAGACAAUCAAAUAAUUGAAAUAUCACAGACAUACUUGGAAAUAUCAUCAUCUUCUACCUUUCCACCAAACCAAAAAGGCCACACCAUAACCAAACUAGAGCAAAAAGCCCUCACUUUCCUUCAAGAUUUUCAGCAAUUUCCCUCUUCAUGGGUGCAGCCAAAACCAAGAUCCAACACUUAUUCUUCUUCACCUACAUAACAUGCUGAACCAAUCCCCCAACAAAAUGACCUUACCUCCCAUAAUCUCAAGAUGGUUCUCUGAUCUAGAUUGGAAACCUCUCCUCUUGAUCAUCCCUCCUCUCUCUCUCCUCCUUUUCUUCUCUAUCUCCUUUACACCCAUCAACCCUUUUUCCACCCUUUCCCCUCUCGCUUCCCGUUUCUUCAACAAAACCACCCUGAUUACACUCCCCUCCACCUCCCCAACAACAAAUCUUUCAUCAACUGCUCACCCUAGUUCGCCGCCUGUGAAUCCGAGUGACUCGACUCAGUGGAAAGAUGAGCUGGAUCGGUCGAGAAUGGCCGUGUGUUUAGUUGGUGGGGCCAGGAGGUUUGAACUGACUGGACCCUCGAUUGUGAAGAAUAUUUUACAAGUGUAUCCAAAUUCAGACCUUUUUUACACAGCAAUUUUGAUAACAAUGCUUUCAAAUUCUCUAUCUUGAAAACUGUGCCAAGGCUCGCCUCUGUCCGGAUUAUCAUUCCCCAACCUCUGCCCGCGACCUUGCCUCAGCUCCGUGUCCUUACAGCUGCUAAUUCUCCUAAUGGCAUCCAGGUUUGUUCCCCUUUUGCCUUCACUACAAUGUUUUUCUUAAGGUUUCAUUUUUUUUUUCAGCAAUUUAUUUACCUGAUUUAAUCUAAUCUUAGUGAUUUUUUUAUGGUAAAUUACGAUUUGAUAACUUUUUAGAGAAUAAUGUGGUCUCCUCUUUUGUUUUCUCCUAAAGAAAAGAUGCGCCAUGAGGGUUCAAAUUUCUGAUAAAGUUGUGAGAAUUUUCAUGGAUUCACUCAUCACUACCAGUAGGCAUUUCCUUAAAUAAAUAAAACAGUGUUACUAUUAUUCUCUUCUUUUUAUUUUUGUUACACCUUUUUAUAAUAAUUAUUCGUGCCUUUUAAGAUAACCUUGUAGUUAUGUCUCUGAUAUAACUAUAAAUAUAUAAUGACUAAGAUGGUAUUUAGCCAAAAGAAAGUAAGAAACGAACGAUGUAAAAUAUAAACCAAUGCCAUGACGAUGAUACAUGGGAUUUUUGGUGUCUGUCAUAACCCAGUCUCAGUUGGUGAUUUAUAACUGAAGUUCUAUAACUCUAAAUUUAGGAAGAUCAAUUUUCUUAGUUAGACAAUAUUCAAAACUAUAAUUUCUAUUAAGGAAUCUUAUUCUAAUUCUUUCAUCCUCCUACAUGAAAUCCCUCUAAAAGUCAAGAGAUGAAAUUGUCCAGAUUCGUUAACUUUUUCAUUUACACACAAUACAUGAAGUUAUUUAAUUUAGUAACUAAUAUUUUUUUUCUCAAUUCAAAUAUAAGAACUCAAAUCUAUAAUUUAACAUCCAGACAUCAAUUCAUAAUCGACUUUGAUACGACUCAUAAGACCAUGUUUAGAACACCUUACCUGGUACGAAUCAAGGUUUCGAUCUUCAACUCCCUCCUUUUCUUUCUAAUGACAGUCGUCCCUCCUCUCUUCUCUUCUUGUUCAAAUUUUCUUGUUAAUUCUUUGCCCACCAGUGUUUAAUCUUGGAUGAGUUCUUGAAAUUUUGGUGUUUCUUUCUUGAUUUGUAAAAAUAGAUACAAAAACUCCAUUUUUUUUUCUUUACAAUAAUUGCAGAUUUUUUGUGAGAAGAGGAGUAUUUAUGCUCUAUAAUUAUUAUUAUUUGCAUUUAGGCCCCAUUUUCUUUAAGUGUAUUUUUUUUGCCCCCGUAUCUUUUUGGUUUAAUUUAUUUCCUUUAAUUUAAUCCAGCCUUGAUUUUUCUCAGGAUUUACAUAUAUUGUAGUAAAUUUUUAGUUCAAAUAAGGUUUGGGAACAUAUUAUUUCAGAGGGUCGAAGUUACUAGACGAAUCUUGUCAAAUUAGGUCUUCAUGUACUGUUUAGGACAUAUCUGGAGCUACAAGUGUAAUUGUGCUACGAUUCAAGUUGAGCUAGAAACUAGACAUCUCAAUAUUUCCAACCAUAUAUAGUAGGUAUAGUAACUCAUCCAGAUAAGAGAGAACAACGUGUUUGAAGUCAAGACUGAAAUCUGCCAAGAAUGUGUGGAAAUUAGAGAUUUAGGCUACAUGAAAUAAUUUUAGCAUAAAGAAUUUGUUUUUAUUAUCCUAUUUAUUUAUUAAUAAUUAUUUUUAAUUUAGAUUUGUUUUGGACUAUUAUACAUUAUUUAGGGGUUUAUUUUAUUAUUUGACUUAUGUUAGUUAAUUACUAGUUUAGGUUCAUUAGCUUGCAACUCAAAAUGAAUCCAUUAGAGUUAGUUAGAGGAGACUAUAUUAUGUUUUUGUUAGCUGUAAAUUGCAGCAGCAAGUUGAAGAAUAAAUAUAAGUUUUUCUUUUGUUUGUUUGUGGAAAAACAACUUUUUUUAUAGGAACAAAGAUUAAUUGGCUUCGUAGAGUCAUUUGCAUAUUUGAGGUUCUUAGAUACAAGAUUAUUUCUAGAUUUAAGUCAAUACCCUUAGUUCUUAGUAUUUGCAUAGGCAAGGAAAUAAUUUUGUUUCCUAAAGAUGGUGACUAGUUAGUCUAAUGGUCCCUCAUGCUCUGCCGGUACCUUAUUCUUUCCAUGGGAAUUAUCAGUUGGGAUGUAAACAAAUAAUUAAAAUAUACAAAUCAAAUAAUUACAAAGAAUAAGCUAGCUUAAGUUGGUUAUUUCUAAAUUGAGAAACUCUCUCUUGAAAGUUAAAGAAAAAUCAUGUCGACCACUAAUUUCACACUUAAUCAUAUGGAACAUAAGUGUGUAGGAUAAAAAGGGUGACAAAUGACAAAAAUGAUAACAUAAUAUCUUUUUAAUAUGGAAUUUGCAGCCUUUUUAUAUAUAUACUCUAUGUUUUCAAGAAAAAAAAUCAUGUUUUUUCAAUAUGGGAUAAAAAACCUUUUGGUUUAAAUAUUUCAACUUAAAAAGAUAACAUAUGGAACAUAUAUUAAAGCAAAAUCAUGUCGUCCACUAAUUUCACACUUAAUCAUAUGGAACAUAAGUGUGUAGGAUAAAAAGGGUGACAAAUGACAAAAAUAAUAACAUAGUAUCUUUUUAAUAUGAGAUUUGCAGUCUUUUUAUAUAUAUACUCUAUGUUUUCAAGAAAAAAAAUCAUGUUUUUUCAGUGUGGGAUAAAAAACCUUUUGGUUUAAAUAUUUCAACUUAAAAGGAUAACAUAAUAUCUUUUCAAUGUGGGAUUUGAAGCUCUUUUGUAUAUAUACUCUAUGUUCCCAUGAAAAAAAUUAUGUUUUUUCAAUGUGGGAUUUGAAACCCAUUAUUAUAUUAUACUCUAUGUUCCCAAGAAAAAAAUCAUGUUUUUUUCAAUGUGGGAUAAAAAAACCUUUUGGUUUAAAUACUUCAACUUAAAAGGAUAACAUAGUAUUUUUUCAAUGUGGGAUUUGAAGCCCUUUCGUAUAUAUAUUCUAUAUUCCCAUGAAAAAAGUUAUGUUUUUUCAAUGUGGGAUUUGAAACCUAUUAGUAUAUAUACUCUACGUUUCCAAGAAAAAAGUUAUGUUUUUUUAAUAUGGGAUAAAAAACUUUUUUGGUUUAAAUACUUCAACUUAAAAGCUUAACAUAAUAUCUUUUUAAUGUGGGAUAAAAAACUUUUAAAAUAUUCUUUUAAACUUCAUUGUUUGCAAUAUGUAUAACCUAUAUUUACAUGAAUUUUUUCAUAUAAAAUAUUAAAACUUUAUUUUUUUUUAAUUUUUCUGGGUUGACCCGAGUUGACCCAUGAAACCCGGGACCCGGUCCCUUGGCCGGGUCAACCCCGGGUUGGAUUUAAUAAUAUGAUGCAGAGAAGAAUGUUUUUCAAAAUCUUUUUUUCCCGCUCACUUUCUCUCUCUCUCACCCUGACACAAGCCCCUGCCGCCUUGAUAAAGAAAGCCAGGAAACCCCUGCGCCACCAUGCCCUGCACUUGGACAAGGUAUGGUGACCGUCUCCCCGACUGCCUAUAAAUACAGAGGAACGAGCAGCAGAUAAGAAAAAAAAGCCAGACGAGAGAAGGGAGAAAAGAAUAGAAAACAGAGGUCAGAUAGAAGACAAGAAAAACAGAGAAAAAAAGAAAGGAAAUGCAAGAGACAGAGAGGAGGGAAUAAGAACCGAGAAACAGAGGUGACGGGGAAAGAGUUUGAUCUGAGGGAGAUGGAAAGGAACAGAAAAACAAGAACACAGAGGAGAAGAGAAGAACAGUAACAUCAAUCUCUGGGUGAUAAGAUCAGUUUCAUCCUUGCUGAUCAGACUAUUGGAUGGGCCUCGGAACUUGCAGAAAAGAAGGAGAUCAAGCGAGCUGCGUUUUGUUCUGCUGCAGCUGCAAUGUUAGUCCAGAGAUUCAGCAUCCCAAAGCUCAUUGAAGAUAGAAUCAUAGAUAAUGAAGGUCAGUUCUUUCUAUCACCAAUUUCUGUUUGUCCUGCUGUGAUGUUCUUUCCAGUUUUACUAUCAGUAACACUCCAUGGAACUUCUUGGUUCCGUGAAGGUGAUGAAUGCUGAUCAGGUAGCUUGCUAGCUAGGUUCAAUACAAGAAGUAUGAACAAAUAAUGGUGUCAGUAUAGAUAUUGGAGCUAGCUAGAAGUGGGGGACACUCUCUUAUGUACAAUAAACAGAAACAGAAGAGAGCCCACAUACAUUGAAAUAUCGUUCUCUAAAUCAUGAAUAUUUGAAAUAUCGUUCUCUAAAUUAUGAAAAUUUAAUCUUGAGGCUGGUGCAUUUGUCGAGAGAGUGUUUGAGAGUGGUACAUUGAUAUUUCCUAGAGUAGUCGGUGAAAUCUACCAUAGCACAUCAUAGCACAUGACUAUGUUUCAACUACGCCCUAUCUUUGAUGGGUCCGAUAAAGAUUACAUUUCAAAAGGAUCUAACAUAAGAAGAAAUUUUGUUGAUCCAUCACUUUCCUAUCAAUACUUAUUAAUAAAAAAGGACAACAAGUUUCAAGAAAUUAAAUUGAUAAUUAUAUGAUAAUUAUAGGCCAUUGGUGUGAGGGUCUCAAUCUCCUCAAACAUGAGUCACAUGGUUUUUGUACCACAUGCUUGUCUAUCAACUCUAGUAUGAUGGUUCGAAGAUCUUCAUUCACUAUCAAUAAAUUUAGGUAGGAUUGCUUCAAUCCAGCCUAAAUUCUAGUCUUGGGGUGAAAUAUCAUCAAUUUUGUUUUAAAUAUUAAUUCAGGCGAAUGCACGCAGGACCAUCAAUUUCAUUGGAGAUCAGAGAGAGACUUUGACAAUGGCAUCUCAAGCCCCUUAAAUUUAUUCCAAAAAAUCCACAAACUGAUCCAUCAAAUAUUAAGACAUUCAUUGGGGGCAAAGAAAGAUGAUUCAAAAAAAAAAAAAAAAGAGAGAUAGAAAAGUUAGAAAAAGGGAAAACAAAAAACAAGGGCUCUUCAAACAUGGAAGGCCUUCGACGUUCCUGUUCUUUUUUCUUUCUUUUUUUUUUUAUCAAUUAUUGUUGUUUUUUUUAUAAAAAAAAAUCAGUCACGUGAUUGAUUCCAUCAAAUUUUCAAAGAUCAUUCCACAAAUGUUAUCAGUUACAUCUGUCCAGGAGAUUACCUGUAAUUGAUAUAUAAAUUAAUUCUUUUUGUGCCUUUUGAGAUUUGCACAUCAUAACUUCUACAAUUUUAAAUUAAAAUUAAACCGGCAAGGUAUGCUUGGCAUUUUUUGAAUGAGAAUAACCCCCUCAGGUUAAUGGCAAGGUCUUCUACUGUUAAUGUUUCUUUUUUCUAAUUAUUGGCAACAACAGUCCGUAGUCAGCAGCUAGCUUGAUUGCCUCUUCCCCCAUUAUAAAUAGCAACAUAGUUAAUGUUGCAACACACCUUCUUUGCAUUAAUUAACGGAAACCAUGGUUUCAAUAAGUGUUUUAGCAAACUCCUAUCCAUCUUUUCCCAUGUUGUUUCUUCUAGCAAUAUUAUUGUUGCUUUCCCUUGUCCUAAAACACAAAUCUUCCAAAGUCCCGGCUAUUCCUCCAGGGCCAAAAUCAUGGCCUAUUAUAGGAAAUGUACUUCAAAUAGGAAACAAGCCCCAUAUUUCCUUGACUAAAUUAGCACAGGUUUAUGGUCCACUCAUGUCCCUCCGACUAGGGACUCAACUUGUUGUCGUCGGGUCUUCUCGGGAAGCAGCCUCCGAAAUCCUCAAAACCCAUGACCGAGAACUCUCCGGCCGGUGUGUGCCUCACGCAUCCUUUGCUAAGGACCCUAAGCUGAAUGAGGACUCCAUAGCUUGGACGUUUGAGUGCACCGACCGAUGGAGGUUCUUUCGUUCCCUGAUGAGGAAUGAGCUAUUCUCUUCUAAAGUCGUUGAUGGACAGUCAAGUACAAGAGAAACCAAGGCCAAAGAAAUGAUAGAUUUCUUGAAAAAGAAGGAAGGAGAGGGAGUCAAAAUACGAGAUAUUGUGUUUGUUUAUACAUUUAAUGUAUUGGCGAACAUUUACUUAUCAAAAGACUUGAUAGAUUAUGAUCAAACUGGAGAGUGCCAAAGAGUGUGUGGGCUUGUAAGGGAAAUGAUGGAGUUACAUACAACUCUAAACAUAUCGGAUUUGUAUCCUAUACUAGGUAGCUUGGAUCUUCAAGGUCUGAGUAGAAAGACUAAUGAGUGCGGGAGUAGAAUUCAGGAAUUAUGGAGGAGUAUCAUCAAAGAACGCAGAGAAGGCCGCAACGAUACAGGAGAUGAUGAUAAUUCCAGUAAACGUAAAGAUUUCCUUGAUGUUUUGCUUGAUGGUGAAUUUUCUGAUGAGCAAAUCAGUUCAUUCUUCGUGGUAUAUAUGAUCUCUAACUUAUGCACUCAUAAUACAUUCCUUUUGUUCAGAUAUUAGUAAUAUCAUUUGCAUUAUUUUAUGGGAGCAGGAACUCUUAGCUGCAGUAUCGGAUAGUUCUAGCUCAACAAUCGAAUGGGCGAUGGCAGAACUGAUGAGGAAUCCACAAGCAAUGAAACAACUUCGCGAAGAACUUGCUGGAGAAACUCCUGAAGACUUGAUAACAGAAUCAAGCCUAGCAAAAUUCCCUUACUUGCAUUUAUGUGUCAAGGAAACUUUGAGAUUACACCCUCCAGCACCAUUACUAAUACCUCACCGAGCAACAGAAGAUUGUCAAGUUUUGGACUGCACCAUACCAAAGGACACCCAAGUUCUUGUGAAUGUAUGGGCAAUUGCAAGAGACCCUGCCAG